rnacentral:rRNA from 1 species
AUUGAACGCUGGCGGCAGGCCUAACACAUGCAAGUCGAACGAUUGUCGGACUGGUGAGUAAUGUCUGGGAAACUGCCCGAUGGAUGGGGAUAACUACUGGAAACUGUAGCUAAUACCGCAUACCAUCGGAUGUGCCCCGAUGGGAUGAGCUAGUAGGUGGGGUAACGGCUCACCUAGGCGACGAUCCCUAGCUGGUCUGAGAGGAUGACCAGGCACGCGGGAACUGGGCAACGGUCCAGACUCCUACGGGAGGCAGCAGUGGGGAAUAUUGCACAAUGGGCGCAAGCCUGAUGCAGCCAUGCCGCGUGUAUGAAGAAGGCCUUCGGGUUGUAAAGUACUUUCAGCGAGGAGGCGUGACUCGCAGAAGAAGCACCGGCUAACUCCGUGCCAGCAGCCGCGGUAAUUC